AUUGAACGCUGGCGGAAGGCUUAACACAUGCAAGUCGAGCGAGCGGCGGACGGGUGAGUAAUGUCUGGGAAACUGCCUGAUGGAGGGGGAUAACUACUGGAAACGGUAGCUAAUACCGCAUACCAUCAGAUGUGCCCAGAUGUGAUUAGCUAGGUGGGUGGGUAAUGGCUCACCUAGGCGACGAUCCUUAUCUGGGCUGAGAGGAGGACAGCACACACCGGCACUGAUACACGGUCCAGACUCCUACGGGAGGCAGCAUUGGGGAAGAUUGGACAAUGGGCUCAUGCCGGAUAACGCCAUGCCGCGUGUGUGAAGAAGGCCUUCGGGUUGUAAAGCACUUUCAGCGAGGAGGCGUUACUCGCAGAAGAAGCACCGGCUAACUCCGUGCCAGCAGCCGCGGUAAUAC
rnacentral:rRNA from 1 species